rnacentral:rRNA from 1 species
GAUAAACGCUGGCGGCGAGCAUGAGACAUGCAAGUCGAACGAGUGCCGGGCAACCGGUGCUAGAGGCGGACGGCUGAGUAACGCGUUGGUGACCUACCCCGAAGUGGGGAAUAACUGCCCGAAAGGGUGGCUAAUACCGCAUGUGGUCGCACGUUCGUUCGUGCGAGUAAAGCCGUGAGGCGCUUCGGGAGGGGCCUGCGUCCGAUUAGCUCGUUGGUGGGGUAAUGGCUUACCAAGGCGACGAUCGGUAGGUGGUCUGAGAGGACGAUCACCCAGACUGGGACUGAGACACGGCCCAGACUCCUACGGGAGGCAGCAGUCGGGAAUUUUGCUCAAUGGGGGGAACCCUGAAGCAGCAACGCCGCGUGAGGGAUGAAGGCCUUCGGGUUGUAAACCUCUUUUGUCAGGGACGAUGAUGACGGUACCUGGCGAAUAAGCCACGGCUAACUACGUGCCAGCCGCCGCAGUAAUAC